UACGGAGGAUGCGAGCGUUAUCCGGAUUUAUUGGGUUUAAAGGGUGCGUAGGCGGGCAUUUAAGCCGGCGGUCAAAUGUCGGGGCUCAACCCCGGCGAGCCGUUGAAACUGUCGGACUUGAGUUGGCGAGAAGUACGCGGAAUGCGCGGUGUAGCGGUGAAAUGCAUAGAUAUCGCGCAGAACUCCGAUUGCGAAGGCAGCAUACCGGCGCCCGACUGACGCUGAAGCACGAAAGCGUGGGUAUCGAACAGG
rnacentral:rRNA from 1 species